AUUGAACGCUGGCGGCAGGCCUAACACAUGCAAGUCGAGCGGAUGAAGGGAGCUUGCUCCUGGAUUCAGCGGCGGACGGGUGAGUAAUGCCUAGGAAUCUGCCUGGUAGUGGGGGAUAACGUCCGGAAACGGGCGCUAAUACCGCAUACGUCCUGAGGGAGAAAGUGGGGGAUCUUCGGACCUCACGCUAUCAGAUGAGCCUAGGUCGGAUUAGCUAGUUGGUGGGGUAAAGGCCUACCAAGGCGACGAUCCGUAACUGGUCUGAGAGGAUGAUCAGUCACACUGGAACUGAGACACGGUCCAGACUCCUACGGGAGGCAGCAGUGGGGAAUAUUGGACAAUGGGCGAAAGCCUGAUCCAGCCAUGCCGCGUGUGUGAAGAAGGUCUUCGGAUUGUAAAGCACUUUAAGUUGGGAGGAAGGGCAGUAAGUUAAUACCUGGCUGUUUUGACGUUACCAACAGAAUAAGCACCGGCUAACCUCGU
rnacentral:rRNA from 1 species